GGUAGAGAAGCUGCUAUGAAACUGCGUAUGCAAGCUGUUGGCCCCAGACUGGUGAUUCCUGCAAACAUAAAUCCACUGCAGUAUCCAUCCAGCACUGGAAUAUUCUAAAUGCACAGAAAUGAUGCGACUCAUUAACAGUGUGACGUUUCAGCAUUCUCUAUUUGUAAAAAUUGCUGCAUGCAGGGGGCAAAUCCCACUGUACUUUGUGUACUUAUCAUUGUGAAUACAACGUCCAUAUUGGAGGAAAAAAUUAUGUCCAGAGAUAUUUCUUUCUUUGUUGCUGCCACAGAACAGAGACAGCAGUUAUUUCUGUAGUAUGG